AGUGAACGCUGGCGGUAGGCCUAACACAUGCAAGUCGAACAGCAGCACAGUAAGAGCUUGCUCUUACGGGUGGCGAGUGGCGGACGGGUGAGGAAUACAUCGGAAUCUACUUUUUCGUGGGGGAUAACGUAGGGAAACUUACGCUAAUACCGCAUACGACCUACGGGUGAAAGCAGGGGAUCUUCGGACCUUGCGCGAUUGAAUGCGCCGAUGUCGGAUUAGCUAGUUGGCGGGGUAAAGGCCCACCAAGGCGACGAUCCGUAGCUGGUCUGAGAGGAUGAUCAGCCACACUGGAACUGAGACACGGUCCAGACUCCUACGGGAGGCAGCAGUGGGGAAUAUUGGACAAUGGGCGCAAGCCUGAUCCAGCCAUACCGCGUGGGUGAAGAAGGCCUUCGGGUUGUAAAGCCCUUUUGUUGGGAAAGAAAAGCAGCAGGUUAAGACCCCGCUGUUCUGACGGUACCCAAAGAAUAAGCACCGGCUAACUUCGU
rnacentral:rRNA from 1 species